rnacentral:tRNA from 1 species
GGCUACCUGGCGCAAUGGUAGCGCGUUUGGCUUCGAUUGCCGAGUUCUACCAAAAGGUUGCAGGUUCGAGUCCUGCGGUGGUCA